UUUAUCUUUUUUGUUGUGAAACUUUAAUUUUUUUUUUUUUUUUGACAGUGUCUCACUUUGUUACCCAGAGCGACACGCGAGACUCCGGCUCAGAAAAAAAAAAUUUAUUUGCCUGCAAAUGGAUUUACUUUAUCCUCGUUCUUAAAGGACGUUUUUCCCUUAGGUGUGUAAGAUUUCAGGUUGACGGCAUUUUGUCUCUGCACUUUGCAAACAACGUCUGUCUCUGGGCAUGGGCAGCCGUAGGGUCUGAGCACGAGCCUUGGUUUUUGGUGCCUGUGCUCCGAUGGGCUGACAUGUAUCCUCAGCCUGUUCAGAGUUUGAGGCCUCUUGGAUCUGUGGCUUGAGGCCUUCAUCAUGUUUCUUCCAGUGUUGUUUCUGCCCCGUU
rnacentral:sRNA from 1 species